rnacentral:rRNA from 1 species
UACGGGGGGGGGCAAGCGUUGUUCGGAAUUACUGGGCGUAAAGGGCUCGUAGGUGGCCAACUAAGUCAGACGUGAAAUCCCUCGGCUUAACCGGGGAACUGCGUCUGAUACUGGAUGGCUUGAGUUCGGGAGAGGGAUGCGGAAUUCCAGGUGUAGCGGUGAAAUGCGUAGAUAUCUGGAGGAACACCGGUGGCGAAGGCGGGUCUCUGGGCCUUACCUGACGCUGAGGCGCGAAAGCUAGGGGAGCGAACAGG